rnacentral:rRNA from 1 species
AUUGAACGCUGGCGGCAUGCUUUACACAUGCAAGUCGAACGGUAACAGGUCUUCGGAUGCUGACGAGUGGCGAACGGGUGAGUAAUGCAUCGGAACGUGCCCAGUCGUGGGGGAUAACGCAGCGAAAGCUGCGCUAAUACCGCAUACGAUCUAUGGAUGAAAGCGGGGGACCGUAAGGCCUCGCGCGAUUGGAGCGGCCGAUGUCAGAUUAGGUAGUUGGUGGGGUAAAGGCCCACCAAGCCAACGAUCUGUAGCUGGUCUGAGAGGACGACCAGCCACACUGGGACUGAGACACGGCCCAGACUCCUACGGGAGGCAGCAGUGGGGAAUUUUGGACAAUGGGCGCAAGCCUGAUCCAGCAAUGCCGCGUGCAGGAAGAAGGCCUUCGGGUUGUAAACUGCUUUUGUACGGAACGAAACGGCUCUCUCUAAUACAGAGGGUCCAUGACGGUACCGUAAGAAUAAGCACCGGCUAACUACGUGCCAGCAGCCGCAGUAACAC